UGGGGUGGGGGUUUAGAGUUCAGUGGGGGUCUGGGGAGGAAUCUGUCUUUAAAUCUGUUUGUCUCUGAUCUGUUGUGUUACCAUUGUGUUCAACAAAUUAAAUCUGCAACAUGAUAGAUAGAUAGAUAGAUAGAUAGAUAGAUAGAUAGAUAGAUAGAUAGAUAGAUAGAUAGAUAGACUUUAUUGAUGAGCGGUCCUUCACUCUAACAUUUACCAUGCUGAAGGCACAGGAGAUGAUUUGAUGUAUUGAGCAGAGAGGCUUGAUAUACUUAAUACACUUAUGUAUUUGCUGAACAAUACCUCAGUAAUGCAGAUAGUGAUUUUACAAAGUUAAAUUCUGCUGUGACUAUUAUUCCUCAGAAUCAACAAGUUUAACUUUAACUGAUAAAGGUAAAGCAUCAUAUCUGUUAUGGACGGUAUUUUGUAAUAUUGCCUGUCAGAGAUAACUGGUAAGUUAAGAUGUAAAAAGGGUUCCUGUUAAAGUCUCUGUAUAUAUAAAAUGUACAAUACACAAACACAGAUAGCAUAAAAGAAAGCACAUGAGCCCAUUAACACUUGAGAUGAUAAAAGGUUAUAAAUAAGACUAUAAGCUUGAGUAUAAAUUAGAGUGUUGCCACAGUGUUGUAUAAGAUCUGAUCUAGAGUCAUGAACAAAUAUAAACAGGACAGGGGUGAAAAGUUAUGAUCCGAAGUAGAUAUUUUUUUAUGUUUGUGUGGAGAUUGCUGUUCACAAAACUAUGCUUUAAUGCUUUAAAUAAUCCCAAAAUAUCACUAAUCUAUUUGGAUUUUGUGGAAUUUCCCUGUUUGAUUCCUCUUUUCCAACAAAAUCAAUGAGUGCUAAUCUGCUUUAAAACAAUCUGUUUUAUUCUGUGUGUGUGUGUGUGUGUGUGUGUGUGUGUGUGUGUGUGUGUGUGUGUGUGUGUGUGUGUGUGUGUGUGUGUGUGUGUGUGCUGGGCUGAAAGAGGGGUCAUCCCAGGUUCCUGUUACUUUCUCUUAUUGUUUUCACAGGAGCAGUUGCCGUUGAUUGUUGCCACAGAAACGGGCAGCCAAUAACACGGUCCGAUCAGCAGGGUGUGGGGGUCAGGCCACCUCGAGCCACAGGAAGAACAAUACCUCCAGCUCCUCCCACUGUGCUGCCUCGCGUGUUUUUGGGUGUCUGUGGGUGGGCAUGUGUCCGCUUGGCUUUGUGGGUCACAUCUGAAGUACUUAGUGAAGCGUUGAGUUGUGUUUGAUGUUUUUUUCCUCUCUUGAUAUUCGGCCCCUCCACUUCUUCUUCAUCAUCACUCUGACUGAAAAUCACAGUGCUUCAAAAUCAAGUUCAAGUUGACUGAGAGGUUUGUUUUCGAAUAGAGUUACUAUAGAAAUCUCCAGGGGUUUAAAUUUCACUUUCAGGUGUAACAACAGAAUCAAACAGGGUUUGCAUUCCUAGUUUUGACUCAGUUAAUCAUCGUUUGGUCUCUUAAAGUUGGAAUUUGCAUUCAGGGAAAAUAGCACCAGACAACAAAUAAGUAACUGUAUUCAAGACAGAUCAUAAAAUUUUGAAAAAUUCAUUCAAGCAAUGAUGCCAGAAAAGAAUCUGUCUAUAUAAGGAUUUUUUUCCAAUUGUAUUUUGACUAUGCCAAAGGAUUUUUGUUCUCUGCAAGUCAGUUUUUUCUUUUCUAUGCAUUUAUGAAGUAAAAUGUGUCAUUUUCCUCUCCUCUUCAUUGAUCUUAUAACUUAUAAGAUUGGGUCAUUUGAUGAUUUUGACUGAUAAUACCAAAUACAACUAACAACCUUAGAUUUAAGUAAUAAAAUCAACGUCCUUAUCUCUUUACUUGAUGUCCAAACAGGAUCAAAACAAAUUAUCUGUUACCUUGAUGGCUUUGCGGAGAGAUUUCACAUUAUAGGCUCAGAUUUGCUACCUAGCUCUCUGCUACCUAGCUCUCUAUUCUGCUCAGGGGAAGCUAUGAUAACAAGGCGCUGGGCUGACUGACUGCUGCAAAUGUCAGAUGGAAAAGCGCAGACUAAUGAAGAGGUGGAAAAACACCAAUACUAACAUGGUGAGUGCUCCAGGAGAACAUGAGAGAGUACACUAAACAUAAAAUCCACAAUCUAACCUGCAACAGGAGGAGUCGACUGUUGAAGUGUUGUUGCCAUGGUCACAUCAGUAUGUCUUUGAGUGUUAUGGUAUGUUUUAUUCCUACUAUUACUACUAUUUUUUCUUUCAGUGCUGGUUGUAAAGACAGUCCUGAGUGAAGUGGUUGGCAUCUAAAAAAUUAUAAUACAAAGGGCUUUUAUAGAAUCUGGGUUUGCAGACAGAGCAGUUGUUACGUUUGGCUCAAGCAUUUUUCAUCUUGGCUCUGUGAAAACAAAUCAAAAUCACAACUUUUGCUACUACAAACAAAAUUGAUGUUAAUAAUUAAACUUUAACUUCAGAAAAAGAUGCUUUGAAAAGAUAAGAUAAUGAAUUUGAUCAUUUUUUAAUGCCAUGUUUUGUCGCCCGGUCACCAGAUCUUGACACGUUAGUCAAACAUGAACUUUGCAGGAUCAAGACUAAUCUGGUCCAAGGUUUCUCACGUUUAAGGAGCUCAAGUUACUGAAGACGGGUUCCUGCAUUCAUGAGCUCUCCAUUUCCCAGAAUCAGUCUAACGAUCAGUGUUUUUAAUCAUAUUGAACCCACAUCGUUUCUACCUCCCAGCUUCCAUGAGAAAAUAUAAAGUCCCUCGCAACAGAAAAGAAAAGCGAGAUAGGUGUAGUGUUCUGUGGUUGAUGGUCUGAAGCCAAAAGCAUGACUCAGUGAGCGGCUAGAUCAAAGUAAAGGUUUAAGUUUUCUCAGGAAUGAGUAUCAGGAACAGAAGCCAAGGAGCAGACUGCACAAAAGAUCAUCAGGCAGAGGCAGGAUGAAAGUCGGCCGCUGCUCAUACUGCAGGGCUAUUGAGAAAAAUGCAUAGGUGUGGAGCACGGGUUGGCUGGAGAAGUCAGGUGAUAUAGAGUGAUGGGAACAGGAGUUUCUUCAGAAGCAGGGCAGGAGGGAGUGUCAGGUUCAGUAGGGACAAGAGGAUCGAGAAUAGCUGGAGGAUUAUGUUGUUUAAAUAAUUAAUCGUGUAUUGGUAUAAAACAAAUGUAGCACUGGCUCAAAUGAAGCACUGGCUCCUGUUUGAACAGAAGAAAUGUAAAAGCUCCUGUGCCAAACUUAUAGUAAAUUUUGUAAAAAAAAAUAAAAAAGUUGCUUAAUUUAAAACUUUCUGCCAACUUUAAACAUCACCAAGUGAUUUUAAAUCUGAAAUUUUCACUAAACACCAACAAGUUGAGAUGUAAAAUUUGGACCUGCAGACUCCAAAAUUAUUAUCUUGAAUUCAGAAGCAAAUUUUUCUUGUUUGAACUAAUAAUACUAAAAACUAAGACUGGCUGCUUAGGCAUGUGAGCAGUUAACAUAGAAAAAAAUAACUUCUGUAGUACCUGUACAGUGUCUUGCAACAAGCUCAGACCCUAAUGAUAUCUUUUAUAAUGAUAACUUUGUUUAAUUAGCUUAUUUAGGAUUUAGCUAGCAAAAGCAUAAAAAAGAGGAAAAAAAAGUUAAAAAUGAAAACCAAAAAAAAACACAUGAAACACAAGCUAUGAAACAAUCCAAACAGUACAGAAAAGAUCUCUCUAUAAUGAAAAUCUGAACAACAGGAUUUACCCAGACAGCCAAGGCUUUUGUGCCUACUAAACCGUUCUGUCAUCUUGAUUGUAGAAAAUCUUGCAGUGCCAUAUACGAACUUUUUUCAGGGAUUAGGCCAUGAGUAUAAAUGCUCUUUCACCUGAAAGUGGUCUACUUUCAUCCGCAUGAACUGUACGUCUGUUGACAUGAACUGAAAGGCAAACUAACCUUGCGUAAAGUCUAAAGCCUCCAUAAUGAGUUUGCACCUGUUCCAUUUAUCAGGAUAACACAGGAUCAUGUUGUCAGAGGGUUAUCUGCUGUUAGUGGGAUUAUGCCUUCCCAUAAAGGCCUGAAACCUCAAAAGGCUUUAGAGGAAGUUGUUCUAAUACUCUGAAUGGAUGAGUCAAAGACUGUUGUUUUUACAGGUGUUUGUUUAGUUUGUGAAGCAUAAACGCUUCCUCCCAGCGGAGAAUAGGAAACAAGAUGAGGCGUGCAGUCUCUCUGGAGGGGACAUACAUACCUGAAAAUGACUCAGAUGAGAUGAUGAUUAUUGACUAAAAUGUGUUUUCUUUUAGGAAUCUCUUCCUCUUAUUAUGGUAUUACAGGCUUUAGUGUCAGUUUGAGGGUCUUGACAGGACAACAUCCCAGACUGUACAGUGUGAAAUUAAAGGGGUGUUCCAGUAAUUUUACACAUCAAAGUCAUUUGUCACAGACAUCAGGGUGCUGUUAUGGCAGUGAAAGUCAGCUAAUGAAAGACGACUAUAAAUGAGCAGUUUUUCAUUCAAAUGAUGUAUAGGUUGGCCUGGGGAUGGGUCAAUAUAGCCUGAUACUUAAUACCGAAAAUGUUUGUCAAUGAGCUAGAAAAAAUGAACAUAGCCAUUGAACAAACGUUUACAUAAAGUAUUAUGCAGCAUGCACUGGAGUUUGGAGAGCUGUCUGACUCUGUAUUUCGGCUGAGGUGAAUGUUUUGCAGUACCGAGCCAAGGUAUGGUAGUUGACAUCAAAGUCCUUUAUUGUCCUCCAGAUUGAUUUAUUAGCUAGGAUCACCUGUCUGACUGCCCUCAGCAUCAUGUCAGCUACUGCUCUGCCAUGUUCUGUUUUUCUUUUGUAAUUCCUGACCAUGUCUUCUCACUUUCUUCUCUCCCUAAACCACUCUUUUCUGCUGAUAAACAGACUCUCUAUGUUAAUUUUAAUCCCUUUUAAACAUGUGACAAUUAACCCCAAAAUGACUGAGACAUGUUGCCCCAAACUACCAUGUUUGCUAAUUCUCGCUCUAACAGAACAAUGACUGAGGUAUGACAGGAUGCCUUAAUUUCUCCUCUAACAAGUCCACAUGUAUCACUCCUAGGAUUUUUAUCUGGAAGAAGCUUAUUUUAAAAUGUAUAAAGUCAUUUUUUUUACUCUGGGUUGUGCGAAAUGGUUAAUUGAUAAUCAUCUCAGCUCACAAUGUGCUCUUCUCUUCUCAGACAGGACAUGACCCCUGAUCAUAUAAAGGAAUAAAACUAGCAUUCCACUUUAUAGUUGCGCCCUCUGGUGGCAAAGAUAAUUGCAGUGUGACAACUUACCCAUGUGACAACAAGCCCCGGUCUCCCCUACUAUUCAUGCUUUUGUUCAUAAAUUACUGAAGUACUACCUCUGUGUCACCUGUGAGGGAAAAUUUGCUGAACAGUUGAACUGGCUUAGUAGUUUGAGUGACGACCCGCUGCCUAAAGGUGAAUUCCACUGAAAACACCCACUCAUGAUUGAGGCAAGAAUCACACACACCCUGAUUUGACGAUGAAACAUGUAACCGAUGCUGACAUUUAUUACUGAACAAUUUCUGUGUGACUCAAUCAGUCUUCUGAUCUGGAUGUUUAACUGUAUCAAAUGUAAGUUAUGUGUGAAGAGUACAGUGCCACCUGGGGGCAGUACGUGUGCUUUUACUACAGAGAUUUCUGCAUAUACUCAUUUACUCUGUAUGUGUUGAGCUAUUCACACAGUCUCUCACACCUAGUGAUGCCACUUACUUACCUGUUGCAAAUUAAGCUAACUAGUUCAAAGAUGCCUUUUUUUUUGCAUCGUGCAACAUUUUCUACAGCAUCCCAACUUUUUAGUAAAAGUGGUUUCUACUGUUCAAAGGACUGAACCUCCAAGCUAGAGGAUCAAGUCAUCCGUCUUUUACUUUCCUGUAAUAUAAAUUCCCACUACAAACCAAAGAGUGUUGAGGGGCUUUCUCUGAUUGCUUGCAAGAAAACAGGCAGUUAUCAUCAUUUCUGCUCGAAGCACAGAUGGCGCCAGGGAUUUGUGAUUGUAAAGUCAGUAUAAUUAGGAAUAAUCAUUUGGGUAUCUCACUUCCUAACAGCCCCAUGCAAAAAACUCCACUUUUCAAGAGGAACGAGGUUAAGAGGCCCACCCACAGUCUGAUUUAUAGCACCACCUCCUAGUCUAAACUGAUCCUGGAGAACAUAAUCCUGCUGGUGGAUCUUUCAUUUGAUCAAAGCUUGAAUGUGCCAGAAGAUAAAAGAAGUCAACCCAGAUGAUGAGGUGGCAGCUGAAGCUUACAACACUGACUAUCGGAUGGUAUCCUCAUUUCCUCUCUCACUCUCCACCUUUAACCCCUAACUACUUCCUCUUCCCUGGAAUGUGUCCUUGAGCUCUGGAGAAGAAGUUGGUAAAACAAUAUGCCCACAAAAUUCCCCAUUUGUGUGUUCAAAGAGAGCGCACUUCCGUUAAAAGGUAGAAAUCUCUCUCCAGUUGUCUUUUUUAACAUGUCUGUCUGAGGGGACAAAGAUCAGCAGGUCAGAGGUUAAGGGGGUCGAGAGCAGACAGGAAAGCAUAAAAAACACAUCUGUGCUUGCACUUGUUCAAGGAUCACACACACAAGCACACGUGCACGCACAGCUGGAUCAUGGCAGCCUUAACUAUUUAUAAAUGGCUGCUAAUGCAGCUGGCUGCUGUCACUGAGAAAGUAAUUAGAGACUGCUGCAGGAAAUAGGAGGAACAAGCCCUAUCCUGGGAUGCCAUGCACAAUCACUCCACUUGUGUGUAUGAAAAAAGAGUCUUUCAUUGUGGGUGUGCUUGAACCUGGGAGCAUGUCAGAGGACAGGAAGGCUAAGACAAGAUUGUAAUUGGCCAGCAAAGGUUUAUCCUGGCACAGAGUCAUAAAUAGUGAAAACCUCAAAUUUAUCGAGCAGAUUAGAUUUGUAUUUAACCACUCAGGGACUUCAAGAACUGACUUUUUUUCCCAUCAUAUUGUGAAAGGGUUGCUAUCUCUAUAGGUAUUGCCAUACUGUCGAACCCCUCUCUUAAAACAUUCAUUUGAUCACAAAAAUGUAAGCUGCAUCAGAACACACAUUCUUGGUUUGAAACUUAUUACUUGAGUUACUUUAAAUGCUGCAAGGUGAUAAAAAUAUAUAACUGCACAGUUGGAGAUAUCUUGCACUGAGACAAUAAUAUAUGUCAAAGACAGUUUUUAC
rnacentral:lncRNA from 1 species